rnacentral:rRNA from 1 species
UACGUAGGGUGCGAGCGUUGUCCGGAUUUAUUGGGCGUAAAGAGCGUGUAGGCGGCCAGACAGGUCCGUUGUGAAAACUCGAGGCUCAACCUCGAGAUGUCGAUGGAAACCGUCUGGCUAGAGUCCGGAAGAGGAGUGUGGAAUUCCUGGUGUAGCGGUGAAAUGCGCAGAUAUCAGGAAGAACACCUAUGGCGAAGGCAGCACUCUGGGACGGUACUGACGCUGAGACGCGAAAGCGUGGGGAGCGAACAG